CCAAGACGUAGCUAAAGAUCAAAAGCACUCAGCUUACACCUGAAAGAUAUCUGCCACCCACCAGAUCGUCUUGAA
rnacentral:tRNA from 1 species